UGGGCUUUAUGGCAGAGUUGCCAAAAGAAAGCCAUUACUUUGGCAUGUUUUGAGUUUGCGAAAAGGCAUGUGGGAGACUCCCAAAAUGUAUGGAGGAAGGUGUUCUGGUCUGAUGAGACUAAAAUUGAACUUUUCGACCAUCAAAAAAAACGCUAUGUCUGGUGCAAACCCAACACAUCACAUCACCUAAAGAACACCAUCCCCAGCAUCAUGCUGUGGGGAUGUUUUUCAGCAGCCAGGUCUGGGAAACUGCUCAGAGUUGAGGGAAAGAUGGGUGGUGCUAAAUACAGGCAUAUUCUUCAGCAAAAUCUGUACCAAAUGACCAUAAACACACUGCUAAAGCAACACUUGAGGGGUUUAAGGGGAACAAUGUAACCAUGUUUUGGAAUGGCCUAGUCAAAGCCCAGACCUCAAUCCAAUAGAAAAUCUGUGGACACACAGAUUGCUGUUCACAAGCGCAAACCAUCCAACUUGAAGGAGCUGGAGCAGUUUUGCAAGGAGGAAUGGGCAAAAAUCCCAGUGGUAAGAUAUGACAAGCUCAUAGAGACUUAUCCAAAGCGACUUGGAGCUGUGCCACAAAAGGUGGCUACAAAGUAUUGAUUUAGGGGGGUGAAUAGUUAUGCACAUUGACUUAUUCUGUUAUUUUGUCCUAUUUGUUGUUUGCUUCACAAUAAAAAAUCUUCAAUGUUGUGGGCAUGUUCUGUAAAUUAAAUGA